rnacentral:rRNA from 1 species
AUACAGAAUAUCCCUUCUCCGAUUGCCACCUUUAAGAUGGGAAACAUACACAAGCUCUCUCAGAACUACGAGAAGUGUGUGAAGGAUAUUAGAGCUGCUAUGGAUACCACCGAUGUGAAGUUUACAAUCGUUGAUGGUGGAAAGGACACAACUGUUCCUGUCACUCCGGGCGAAGAUAACACAAGCCGUGGGGUAUAUGUGAUUAAAAUCACAGACGGCCAGUACAACCUCUCUCUGGUGCCUACUAAACACCAGGCUUGGUUCAGGGGGAUUGUUACUAACAAUGGAGGCAGAUAUGAGAUUGACAAGAUGCUAACCAAGAUGAUGAAGGGCUCUACAUCACUUCAUACCGAUGGGCAGUAUCCACAUUUGCUGUCUGGUGGAGAUAAAGUUGAAGCACUAAAGGUGGGAUUUCAUCGAUUGCUCCAUGCCUUCCCUGCUUUGGCUACUCUUGGGAAGGAUGAGAACAAAAAGGUCACGUCCGAGCAUAAGGAGGCUUUGGCUGUGCUAAUAGUCAUGUUCUUCGAAGGGCCACGUUUCCCUGAUGUGGAAAAUUUGGUGAAGCGCCUACUGACCCGUAUGGAGGACGGUGUGGUUGGGGAAUCGAAUGGAAAACUGAUAACUAGCUGGUGUUAUACCAGCGAAAUUUUUUACGAU